AUUCGGGGAGCCUGGUCACCAACUGGAUGCUCAGGGGAGACGGAACCCUGAGCAGCCCAUGUACAUGGAAGAUCUUUAUUGCAGAGAUCUUUAAACCAGAGAUAUACAAGAAUCCCUGUGGAAAACCUCAUGAACUCAAGGUCAUGCAGAGACUUAGGGAAGAACUGGGACUGGCUUAUCAAGACUCUACACUACUGACCCAGGGCUUGGCAGUUUCUGUCCUAGAAAUCAGCACACGCAGCUCAUGCAUCACCGAGAAGGUGGUCAGCCUAAGAAGUGGUUCCCCACUCUUUGUUCUAAGAUAUUCCUCUCUCAGAAACCACGUCUGUUUUCAACUUUUUUUUUUUUAGACAGUCUCACUCUUGUCACCCAGGCUGGAGUACAGUGGUGCAAUCUUGGCUCACUGUAACCUCUGCCUCCCGGGUUCAAGCGAUUCUUCUGCCUCAGCCUCCCAGGUAGCUGAGACUACAGGCGUGUGCCACCAUGCCCAGCUAGUUUCUUGUAUUUUAUUAGUAGAGAUGGGGUUUCACCAUGUUGUCCAGUAUGGUCUCAAACUGCUGAGCUCAGGCAAUCCCCCCGCC
rnacentral:antisense_RNA from 1 species